rnacentral:rRNA from 1 species
UACGUAGGGGGCAAGCGUUGUCCGGAUUUAUUGGGCGUAAAGCGCGUGUAGGCGCCAGGUAGGUCCGCUGUGAAAACUCGAGGCUCAACCUCGAGACGUCGGCGGAAACCAUCUGGCUAGAGUCCGGAAGAGGAGAGUGGAAUUCCUGGUGUAGCGGUGAAAUGCGCAGAUAUCAGGAAGAACACCUAUGGCGAAGGCGGCUCACUGGUCCAUUACUGACGCUGAGGUGCGAAAAGCGUGGGGAGCAAACAGG